rnacentral:rRNA from 1 species
AACGAACGCUGGCGGCAUGCCUAACACAUGCAAGUCGAACGAGACCUUCGGGUCUAGUGGCGCACGGGUGCGUAACGCGUGGGAACCUGCCCUUAGGUUCGGAAUAACUCCCCGAAAGGGGUGCUAAUACCGGAUAAUGUCAUCGGACCAAAGAUUUAUGGCCUUUGGGUGGGCGCGCGUUGGAUUAGCUAGUUGGGAGGGUACAAGCCUACCAAGGCGACGAUCCAUAGCUGGUCUGAGAGGAUGACACGCCACACUGGGACUGAGACACGGCCCAGACUGCUACGGGGGGCAGCAGUGGGUAAUAUUAGACAAGGAGCGAAAGCCUGAUCCAGCAGUGCCGCGUGAGUGAUGAAGGCCUUAGGGUUGUAAAGCUCUUUUACCCGGGAUGAUAAUGACAGUACCGGGAGAAUAAGCUCCGGCUAACUCCGUG